GACGAACGCUGGCGGCGUGCCUAAUACAUGCAAGUAGAACGCAGUUGCGAACGGGUGAGUAACGCGUAGGAAACCUGCCUCAUAGUGCGGGAUAACUAUUGGAAACGAUAGCUAAUACCUCAUAUUGUGCGUUGGACCUGCGUUGUAUCAGCCAGUUGGUGAGGUAAAGGCUCACCAAGUCGACGAUACAUAGCCGACCUGAGAGGGUGAUCGACCCAACUGGGGAUGAGACACGGCCCAGACUUCUACAUAAGCCAACACUGAAUAGUCUUCGGCAAUGGACGGAAAGCUGACCCAGCAACGGCGCGGGGAUGAAGAAGGUUGUCGGGUCAUAAAUCUCUGUUGUUUGGGAAACGGUAGCUAACCAGAAAGGGACGGCUAACUACGUGCCAGCAGCCGCGGUAAUUC
rnacentral:rRNA from 1 species